rnacentral:rRNA from 1 species
UACGAAGGGGGCUAGCGUUGUUCGGAAUUACUGGGCGUAAAAGGGCGCGUAGGCGGCCUUGUGAGUCGAGUGUGAAAAGCCCCUGGGCUUAACCCCGGGGAAGCGCGCUUGAUACUGCAGGGCUUUGAGUGUGGGAGAGGAUGAUGGAAUUCCCAGUGUAGAGGUGAAAUUCGUAGAUAUUGGGAAGAACACCGGUGGCGAAGGCGAUCAUCUGGACCACAAACUG